rnacentral:rRNA from 1 species
GAGUUUGAUCCUGGCUCAGGAUGAACGCUGGCGGCGUGCCUAAUACAUGCAAGUCGAACGAGGCCCUCUUCCUUCGGGAGGAGGUGUCCUAGUGGCGAACGGGUGAGUAACACGUUGGUGACCUACCCCGAAGAGGGGGACAACCCCGGGAAACUGGGGCUAAUACCCUAUGUGAUCCUAAGGAUUAGAUGCCUAAGGUUGAAAUGGAUGCUUGCAUUCGCUUCGGGAGGGGCCUGCGGCCUAUCAGCUAGUUGGUGAGGUAAUGGCUCACCAAGGCGACGACGGGUAGGGGGCCUGAGAGGGUGGUCCCCCACACUGGAACUGAAACACGGACCAGACACCUACGGGUGGCAGCAGUAGGGAAUAUUGCACAAUGGGCGCAAGCCUGAUGCAGCAACGCCGCGUGCGCGAUGAAGGCCUUAGGGUUGUAAAGCGCUUUUCUGGGGGAAGAGAAAGGACGGUACCCCAGGAAUAAGUCUCGGCUAACUACGUGCCAGCAGCCGCGGUAAAACGUAGGAGGCGAGCGUUAUCCGGAUUUACUGGGCGUAAAGCGCGUGCAGGCGGUUUGGUAAGUCGGACGUGAAAGCUCCCGGCUCAACUGGGAGAGGUCGUUCGAAACUGCCAGACUAGAGGGCAGCAGAGGGAGGUGGAAUUCCGGGUGUAGCGGUGAAAUGCGUAGAUAUCCGGAGGAACACCAGUGGCGAAGGCGGCCUCCUGGACUGUCCCUGACGCUAAGACGCGAAAGCUAGGGUAGCAAACGGGAUUAGAAACCCCGGUAGUCCACGCCGUAAACGAUGAGUGCUAGACGUCGGGGGGCAUGCCCUUCGGUGUCGCUGCUAACGCAUUAAGCACUCCGCCUGGGGAGUACGGUCGCAAGAUUAAAACUCAAAGGAAUUGACGGGGGCCCGCACAAGCGGUGGAGCAUGUGGUUCAAUUCGACGCAACGCGCAGAACCUUACCAGCCCUUGACAUGGGGGUCGCGGGGACCAGAGAUGGUCUCCUUCAGUUCGGCUGGACCCCACACAGGUGCUGCAUGGCUGUCGUCAGCUCGUGUCGUGAGAUGUUGGGUUAAGUCCCGCAACGAGCGCAACCCUCGUCUUCAGUUGCCAGCGGUUCGGCCGGGCACUCUGGAGAAACUGCCGGUGAUAAGCCGGAGGAAGGUGGGGAUGACGUCAAGUCCUCAUGGCCCUUACGGGCUGGGCUACACACGUGCUACAAUGGCGGUGACAACGGGAUGCAAUGGUGCGAGCCGGAGCGAAUCCCCAAAAACCGUCUCAGUUCGGAUUGCACUCUGCAACUCGAGUGCAUGAAGUCGGAUUCGCUAGUAAUCGCGGAUCAGCAUGCCGCGGUGAAUACGUUCCCGGGCCUUGUACACACCGCCCGUCACACCAUGGGAGUUGGUUUUACCCGAAGCCGGUGCGCUAACCUUUUGGAGGCAGCCGACCACGGUAGGGUCAGCGACUGGGGUGAAGUCGUAACAAGGUAACC